CGGAGACCGAGGGGAAACGAGCCCGAGCCGAGCCCAGCCCGAGCAGAUCCGAACCUAAACCGAAAAGAGCCCGAGCCGAACACGAGCCCGAACCGAAACGAGCCCGAGCGGGGCCGAGCCCGAGCCCGCCCUUCCCCUCAGCCCCGCUGCACACAUUCGGUUUGCGUUGCUUUAGUUUGUCGUUGCUUUUUUGCCAGCAUUGAUUUCUUUGGUUUUGAAUUUGUUUUUCACAGAAAACACCCCAAACAACUCAGGACUUCACUGAGACGUGCUACAGGGUCUACAAGAUGUACUUUUUUAUUAGCGCCACUGCAUUACACAGCCUGAGGGGACACUGACUGCGCCCACCCUGAGGAAAGCAGAGUUUUGGCAGCUGCUAGAGACUGCACAGGAUAACAGGAGUACAAUAAACAUACCUCAGGAUGCAGUCACAAAAUGAC